UUACGGCCAUAUUACAUUAGAGCACCGUUUCUUGUACGAUCUCUGAAGUUAAGCAACGUCGAGUCUGGUUAGUAAAUAGAUGGGUGACCAGUUGGGGAUAGCAGGUGCUGUAA